UACGUAGGGUCCGAGCGUUGUCCGGAAUUACUGGGCAUAAAGAGCUCGUAGGCGGUUUGUCGCGUCGGCUGUGAAAACCCAUGGCUCAACCGUGGGCUUGCAGCCGAUACGGGCAGGCUAGAGUUCGGUAGGGGAGACUGGAAUUCCUGGUGUAGCAGUGAAAUGCGUAGAUAUCAGGAGGAACACCGAUGGCGAAGGCAGGUCUCUGGGCUGACACUGACGCUCAUGCACGAAAGCGUGGGGAGCAAACAGG
rnacentral:rRNA from 1 species